UCCUGGUAUCUAGUUGGCUUCACUGCCA
rnacentral:piRNA from 1 species